CCUACGGGAGGCAGCAGUGGGGAAUAUUGGGCAAUGGGCGCAAGCCUGACCCAGCAACGCCGCGUGAAGGAAGAAGGCUUUCGGGUUGUAAACUUCUUUUCUCAGGGACGAAGCAAGUGCCGGUGCCUGAGGAAUAAGCCACGGCUAAAUACGUGCCAGCAGCCGCGUUAAUACGUAGGUGGCAUGCGUUAUCCGGAUUUACUGGGUGUAAAGGGCGUGUAGGCGGGACUGCAAGUCAAAUGUGAAAACCACGGGCCCAACCUGUGGCCUGCAUUUGAAACUGUAGUUGUGGAGUACUGGAGAGGCAGACGGAAGUCCUAGUGUAGCGGUGAAAUGCGUAGAUAUUAGGCGGAACACCAGUGGCGAAGGCGGUCUGCUGGACAGCAACUGACGCUGAGGCGCGAAAGCGUGGGGAGCAAACAGGAUUAGAUACCCUAGUAGUC
rnacentral:rRNA from 1 species